rnacentral:lncRNA from 1 species
UUUUAAUAUUUUAUAUAAAAGGAUAAAUUGCAUAUUUUGUUUUCAAACUGUAAGGCAGGUGGUUUUUUGGUUCUCAAAGUUUAAUUUUAUUAUUAUAAUUUCUAGGGAAAACUUCAAAAACCCUCCCUGUGGUUUCAUGCAUUCUCACUUUACUACCCCGUGGUUUAAAACGUAUCAAUUUGCCCCCCUGUGGUUUCAUUUUUAUCUUUUCGGAAGCUUUUUCGUUAACAUUUCGUUAAAUUAUAUACAAAAAACUUCAGAUAACCAUCUAUAUUUAUCGAAUAUUCACUUUAGUAUCCUUUAAUUUUAACUUUGUCACUGAUUUAAGAAAAAAAUAAUAAUAAAAUUGAUAACAAAAAGAGAAAAACGAAACCACAGGGGGGCAAAUUGAUACGUUUUAAACCACAGGGUACUAAAGUGAGAAAGCACGAAACCACAGGGGGGGUUUUUGAAGUUUUCCCUAAUUUCUAAUGCAAACUUUUAAAAUUACUAUGGUCAAGUGCUCUAACCUAAUUUAAUUAAUUGACUAAAUAUUGAUAUAUCGUUAAUGCAAAAGUAAUGUAACAGCGUUAUAAUUGAUAAGGUGUUGAUAAUUAAGAUGUUAUAUCACUUGAGCAUCAGCGAUCCGUCAACAUUUGGUAAAAUAAAUUGGGUCAGAGGACUUGAUCGAAGCAAUUUUGGAAGUUCGAGCCAAAAAUUACAAUAAAUUAAAAUUUGAGAACUAAAGUAUCACCGGCCUUAUAGUUUGAGGACCAAAUAUACAAUUUACCUUCCUAAUU